AGAAAAAGAAAUUACUGCAAUCUUAGCAGCUUAAAACAACACUCAUUUAUUAUCUCAUAGUUCCUGUAGGAUAGGAGCUUGGCUGUGGCUUAGCUGGGUCCUCUGGUCAAGGUUACAAAGCUGCAUUCAAAAUGCUGACUGGGCUGCAUUUCUUUCUGGAACUUGGGAUCCUAAUCUAAGCUCCCAUGGUCGUUGGCAGGGUUUAGUUCCUUGUGGUUGUAGGACUGAAGCCCACUCCCAGAGGCUGUCUGUAGUUCCCUGCCACUUGGCCCUCUCCACGGGCAGUUCAUAUCAUAGCAUCUUGCUUCUUCAAGGCCGGCUACAGAUUUUCUCUCUCAAGCCUCUAAGAUAGAGUGUUAUAUAGUACAGUAUGAUCAUGUGCAUGACAUUUUGAGAUUUCACCUGAAAAAUCUAGAUCUUUCAGCAAUGUUGGACCCACAUUCUCACUGGCAGACUGCUGGGAGGAGCUGAAUAGUACCAGCCAUUAGUCACUUGGACAAGAAAGGACUUUAAUUUUCUUUAGGGUUCCUGCCUUCCAUGGAUGCUGCAUCUGCACUGCCACAGCUGCUUCAUUGGCUGUUGUGGGCAUUGGCAUUUGUGACACAGGAUUACGUUCUUUUAAAAUUUUUUUUCUUUUUUGGCCUCAUCCCUAACAUGCAGACAUUCCCAGGUCAGAGAUCAAACCCACGGCACAAGCAGUGAUCCAAGCCACAGAAGAGACACCAGAUCUUUCACCUGCUGAGCCAGCAGGGAACUCAGGAUUACAUUUUCGAAGAAACUGAGGAAGUGUAUGACUCCAGAAAAUGGAAUAAGGAGGAUGUGACUGAAGAAAAGGGGUGUGGAAAGCCUCACUCUAGGCCAACUUGAUGCUAUCAUUACACUAUUAUGGUUGGAAAUGGGAGAAUUUUAAGCAGCCUGACACAAAUGCUGAUUGUUGUAAAGCUUUGUGAUUAAAAACACAUGAGAUUUA